CCUACGGGAGGCAGCAGUGGGGAAUAUUGGGCAAUGGGGGAAACCCUGACCCAGCAACGCCGCGUGAGGGAAGAAGGUUUUCGGAUCGUAAACCUCUGUCCUAUGUGAAGAGAAAGAGACGGUAGCAUAGGAGGAAGCCCCGGCUAACUACGUGCCAGCAGCCGCGGUAAU
rnacentral:rRNA from 1 species